rnacentral:rRNA from 1 species
CACGUAGGCGGACUCUUAAGUCGGUGGUGAAAUCCUGGAGCUCAACUCCAGAACUGCCUCCGAUACUGGGAGCCUUCGAGUCCGGGAGAGGUGAGUGGAACUGCGAGUGUAGAGGUGAAAUUCGUAGAUAUUCGCAAGAACACCAGUGGCGAAGGCGGCUCACUGGCCCGGUACUGACGCUGAGGUGCGAAAGCGUGGGGAGCAAACA